UACGUAGGGUGCAAGCGUUGUCCGGAAUUAUUGGGCGUAAAGAGCUCGUAGGCGGUUCGUCGCGUCGGCUGUGAAAACCCGGAGCUCAACUCCGGGCCUGCAGUCGAUACGGGCGGACUUGAGUUCGGCAGGGGAGACUGGAAUUCCUGGUGUAGCGGUGAAAUGCGCAGAUAUCAGGAGGAACACCGGUGGCGAAGGCGGGUCUCUGGGCCUUACCUGACGCUGAGGAGCGAAAGCGUGGGGAGCAAACAGG
rnacentral:rRNA from 1 species